UGCAGUCGUGGCGGAAUUGGCAUACGCGCAAGACUAAGGAUCUUGUGAGCCUAGCUCGUACGGGUUCAAGUCCCGUCGACUGCAG
rnacentral:tRNA from 1 species